rnacentral:rRNA from 1 species
AGUGAACGCUGGCGGUAGGCCUAACACAUGCAAGUCGAACGGCAGCACAGUAAGAGCUUGCUCUUACGGGUGGCGAGUGGCGGACGGGUGAGGAAUACAUCGGAAUCUACUUUUUCGUGGGGGAUAACGUAGGGAAACUUACGCUAAUACCGCAUACGACCUACGGGUGAAAGCAGGGGAUCUUCGGACCUUGCGCGAUUGAAUGAGCCGAUGUCGGAUUAGCUAGUUGGCGGGGUAAAGGCCCACCAAGGCGACGAUCCGUAGCUGGUCUGAGAGGAUGAUCAGCCACACUGGAACUGAGACACGGUCCAGACUCCUACGGGAGGCAGCAGUGGGGAAUAUUGGACAAUGGGCGCAAGCCUGAUCCAGCCAUACCGCGUGGGUGAAGAAGGCCUUCGGGUUGUAAAGCCCUCUUUGUUGGGAAAGAAAAGCAGCAGGUUAAUACCCCGCUGUUCUGACGGUACCCAAAGAAUAAGCACCGGCUAACUUCG